GUCCACGCUGUAAACGAUGAGAACUAGAUGUUGGGAGGGUUUGCCUCUCAGUGUCGCAGCUAACGCGCUAAGUUCUCCGCCUGGGAGUACGGCCGCAAGGUUGAACUCAAAGGAAUUGACGGGGACCCGCACAAGCGGUGGAGCAUGUGGUUUAAUUCGAUGCAACGCGAAGAACCUUACCUGGUCUUGACAUCCCAGGAACCUCGCAGAGAUGUGGGGGUGCCUUCGGGAACCUGGAGACAGGUGCUGCAUGGCUGUCGU
rnacentral:rRNA from 1 species